GCCAGGUGUGGUGGCUCACACCUGUAAUCCCAACAUUUUGGGAGGCAGAGGCGGGUGGAUCACCUGAGGUCAGGAGUUCAAGAUCAGCCUGGACAACAUGGCGAAACUCCAUCUGUACUAAAAGUACAAAAAUAAACCAGGUGUGGUGGCGCAUGCCUGUAAUCCAAGCUACUCUGGAGGCUGAGACAUGAGAGUCGCUUGAACCUGGGAGGUGGNNNNNNNNNNUUAUUUUUGUACUUUUAGUACAGAUGGAGUUUCGCCAUGUUGUCCAGGCUGAUCUUGAACUCCUGACCUCAGGUGAUCCACCCGCCUCUG
rfam:Gorilla gorilla gorilla genomic chromosome, chr20, whole genome shotgun sequence